AGAGUUUGAUCCUGGCUCAGAUUGAACGCUGGCGGCAGGCCUAACACAUGCAAGUCGAACGGUAGCACAGAGGAGCUUGCUCCUUGGGUGACGAGUGGCGGACGGGUGAGUAAUGUCUGGGAAACUGCCCGAUGGAGGGGGAUAACUACUGGAAACGGUAGCUAAUACCGCAUAAUGUCGCAAGACCAAAGAGGGGGACCUUCGGGCCUCUUGCCAUCGGAUGUGCCCAGAUGGGAUUAGCUAGUAGGUGGGGUAACGGCUCACCUAGGCGACGAUCCCUAGCUGGUCUGAGAGGAUGACCAGCCACACUGGAACUGAGACACGGUCCAGACUCCUACGGGAGGCAGCAGUGGGGAAUAUUGCACAAUGGGCGCAAGCCUGAUGCAGCCAUGCCGCGUGUAUGAAGAAGGCCUUCGGGUUGUAAAGUACUUUCAGCGGGGAGGAAGGCGAUACGGUUAAUAACCGUGUCGAUUGACGUUACCCGCAGAAGAAGCACCGGCUAACUCCGUGCCAGCAGCCGCGGUAAUACGGAGGGUGCAAGCGUUAAUCGGAAUUACUGGGCGUAAAGCGCACGCAGGCGGUCUGUCAAGUCGGAUGUGAAAUCCCCGGGCUCAACCUGGGAACUGCAUCCGAAACUGGCAGGCUAGAGUCUUGUAGAGGGGGGUAGAAUUCCAGGUGUAGCGGUGAAAUGCGUAGAGAUCUGGAGGAAUACCGGUGGCGAAGGCGGCCCCCUGGACAAAGACUG
rnacentral:rRNA from 1 species